UACGGGGGGGGCAAGCGUUGUUCGGAAUUACUGGGCGUAAAGGGCUCGUAGGCGGCCAACUAAGUCCGACGUGAAAUCCCCAGGCUUAACCUGGGAACUGCGUCGGAUACUGGAUGGCUUGAAUUCGGGAGAGGGAUGCAGAAUUCCAGGUGUAGCGGUGAAAUGCGUAGAUAUCUGGAGGAACACCGGUGGCGAAGGCGGGUCUCUGGGCAGUAACUGACGCUGAGGAGCGAAAGCGUGGGGAGCGAACAGG
rnacentral:rRNA from 1 species